AGAGUUUGAUCCUGGCUCAGGAUGAACGCUGGCGGCGUGCUUAACACAUGCAAGUCGAACGGGCUCAUAUUGAAACCUAGUGAUGUAUGAGUUAGUGGCGGACGGGUGAGUAACGCGUGGAGAACCUGCCGUAUACUGGGGGAUAACACUUAGAAAUAGGUGCUAAUACCGCAUAAGCGCACAGCUUCGCAUGAAGCAGUGUGAAAAACUCCGGUGGUAUACGAUGGAUCCGCGUCUGAUUAGCUGGUUGGCGGGGUAACAGCCAACCAAGGCGACGAUCAGUAGCCGGCCUGAGAGGGUGAACGGCCACAUUGGGACUGAGACACGGCCCAAACUCCUACGGGAGGCAGCAGUGGGGAAUAUUGCACAAUGGGGGAAACCCUGAUGCAGCGACGCCGCGUGAGUGAAGAAGUAUUUCGGUAUGUAAAGCUCUAUCAGCAGGGAAGAAAAUGACGGUACCUGACUAAGAAGCCCCGGCUAACUACGUGCCAGCAGCCGCGGUAAUACGUAGGGGGCAAGCGUUAUCCGGAUUUACUGGGUGUAAAGGGAGCGUAGACGGCAGCGCAAGUCUGAAGUGAAAUCCCAUGGCUUAACCAUGGAACUGCUUUGGAAACUGUGCAGCUGGAGUGCAGGAGAGGUAAGCGGAAUUCCUAGUGUAGCGGUGAAAUGCGUAGAUAUUAGGAGGAACACCAGUGGCGAAGGCGGCUUACUGGACUGUAACUGACGUUGAGGCUCGAAAGCGUGGGGAGCAAACAGGAUUAGAUACCCUGGUAGUCCACGCCGUAAACGAUGAUUACUAGGUG
rnacentral:rRNA from 1 species